GCUUACACGCCAUACCAGCCUGGGUACGCCCGAUCUCGUCUGAUCUCGGAAGCUAAGCAGGGUUCGGGCCUGGUUAGUACUUGGAUGGGAGACCGCCUGGGAAUACCAGGUGCUGUAAGCA
rnacentral:rRNA from 1 species